ACGGUCUAAUUUUUUCUCUAAGAUAAUGCACAAACAGUGCCCCCCGGAGCAGAGCCGUCCAAAUUACUGGACUUCUAUAGAUGGAUGAAGAAAUCUGUAUUUGGGGUUGUUCCACCGGCUGUUCUGCCCCCUCAAUGAAGGCUUUGACCUGUUUUGGGACUGCUGUGCCGUAUACAGGAGACGGUGAUUGGGAUUUUUAUAGAAAGACCUGUCCCAGCAAAGGAGCAACCGUCUCGGAUGAAGAAGAUCCUUGGGUG